GGGGGGGGGGGGGGGGGGGGCUGGUGGGUGGGGGGGGGGGGGGCGGGCGAGGGGCUUGCUGCGCGGACGUUCGGGGCGGCCGGGUGGGUACCACGUGGACACCCUCCCUGUCGGACUGGGAUAACUUCGGGACCCCGGAGCUAAUCCCGGCUCAUCUCCUUACCCUCAUGCUUCACUCUUGACACACGGUUAUGCUGUCCCUUAUCCCUGGAUCCGCGCCUCAUUAGCUAGUUGGUAAGGUAACGGCUUACCAAGGCCACGAUGCGUCGCCGACCUGAGAGGGGGAUCGGCCACAAGGGAACGGAGACACGGUCCAGACUCCUACGGGAGGCCGCAGUAGGGAAUCUUCCGCAAUGGGCGAAAGCCUGACGGAGCAACGGCGCGUGAGUGAUGAAGGUCUUCGGAUCGUAAAACUCUGUUAUUAGGGAAGAACAAAUGUGUAAGUAACUAUGCACGUCUUGACGGUACCUAAUCAGAAAGCCACGGCUAACUACGUG
rnacentral:rRNA from 1 species